UGUGAUCUAGUUUCCAGCAAGCAGAUGCACACAUUCAAGAUGUGGUUGUGAAAGUGAGCAAUGAGAUGCCUCAGCUGCAUUCAGGGAGAUGGGAUUUUCUGGCAACACCAUGGUGGAGGUUUCUGAUUCUUCUGGGUAGCCAGGGAGGAGUUCUGACAUCCAUUUUUAGAAUUAUAGGUGCUGACUGGCAGGUGGUGCUGGAAUGGGUUUCUGCUAAAAUAGCCCUGUGAUACGAGAUGAGUGUUCUUCCUAGUUUGGUUUUUCGUGGAUGUUGUUUCUGGCUAUGUAUUAUCCAGGCAUGGUUCUUUGGUCCCCUUGGAGAUCUGUGAGCUAAAUACUAUCCUUUAAUUCCUUUCUGCUUCAACUAGCUCAGUCAUGGCAAGCUACAUAAUUUUGGGGAUUGAGAGCAAAAUAAAAAAUAUGGGAUCCUUUGUUCAAAAAGCAGGGGAAAAGAGCCAUAUGUACUAAAAUAUAAAGCCUUUUCUGUCUUUGUCAUCUCUCCAUCAACUUGUCAUGAUUUUCCUAUUUGUUUUUUAAUGCCAUUCUAAGUAAAGAAAAAUUCAAAUUUUAAAUUAUUAGAAUGAAUUUUACCAUUUAUUUUUAUAUUGUGCAAUGCCAUUUAUAAAUGCAAAUAUAAGAACAUUUAACUAAUACAUGGAAUCCCCAGAAUUACAAUUCAUAUUUCAUAGCUUAUGCAUGGAUAUGUAUUUCGUGCUUAUCAGAACAGUGUAAGUGCUGCACAAAACCAACUUGACUUUUUAUUUUCCUUCUUGAUAGGCACACAUCCUACCAACCUGAGUAAGGAAGGACUGAAAGGAAAAGGAACUAUGGAUUGCCCUACCAUUCCCCUUCCUUCUGUGUCAUUUUCAGUAUAAAAGAAAUGAUACAUGGUUGCCAAUCCAACUUCUGAUUCUUAGGAAACUCCAUUUUACUAACAAACCACUCAUUUUGACUUGGUAACCAUGCUUUGGGAUUUUCAUAGUUUGAGUAAUUCCUCUGGGCUCUGCCACCCAGCAAGUUAAAGAGGACAAGAUUCCUCCUGGGGGAUUGUGGUUCUGGGAAUGUGAGCGGCUUGUUUUCAUGAGAUCUGCACCCUGGCCUGGCCUACUGUUAGGAGCUGUCAUGUUGGUGAUUGUGUUAUUUUUAGUUGUUUGUUUCAUCUUACAUAGUUACAUGUAUAUAAAGAUUUUUGAAAAGUGGACAUUUUAUGGGGAUGUUUUGCUUAUAUGAAGAAAAUUAAAAUGAUUUUAAAGUA